UGCCGUGUGCAGAAGUUGGAUUGUAUAAGCCCGUAAUACGGACGGGUGUUUCUACAAACUGCCUUAAACAGUUUACUAUAAUCCCCGUUAAGGGGCGU
rnacentral:ncRNA from 2 species